CUUGCAUGAUAGGCUUGUGUUGGAUUGCUCCUUGCAUAGGUAACACUCCACUCAAAGAGGGAAUGGACAAAUGUACCUGAAAGCAGGAUUUUGUUUAUUUCAAAAGUUUCUCCACUGAGAAAUCAUUCUGGAGUGCAUUCUCUCAUCUGUGUGAGGCUGAAUCGUAAUUGGAUUUAACAUCUCUAUAAAGUCAUCGACAAAUUCUUUCAAGAGACACAGAAAAAGAAACAAGUCAAAAUUUACAUCUAACAAGUCAUUUGGUGUGCUAGCCUAUCUACAAGGACCUAAUUGACAGACAUUUCACCCCCUAUAACCUAUUCUCGUUUUCUCCAGAUUUUUAGCAGCUUCACUGGAAAUUUCCAGCAAGAAAUCUGCCUUCAGAGUUCAUCUGUUCCUGUUAGGCUGCUCUUACAUUGAAUGUAUGUGUGAGAAUAGCAAUUUCUACUAUUUUAGCAGCUAUCCAUUUGAUUCACCUCGAGUUUUGGAAGCAAAGUUGGACACAGGGAGAAAUAACUCUAAU
rnacentral:lncRNA from 1 species